GUCGGACUCGGUUUGGUUGGGGGGAGGGAGGAACAGUCGAUGAAGGGAGGCGCCGGAGUCUGUUCCGCACACAGAGCUCACCUUCCUGCAGACAAGUGAUAAAGCGUAUUCGUCUCAUUUCAACAGGAAGUCACUUCUGCAGGCAAGUUUGCUACAACAGCAGGAAACCGCAGUGUGUCGUGGCUUGGUAGCCUAGGAUACAACAACAGACAUAAUACAAUUUCAUCAAAUAUUUUUUUUACAAAUACUAUUUAUUUGUUCAUUUAAAAUGUAUUAAUAUAUUCUAGUCUAUUAUUUGUGUAGGCCUAUUCAUAAACUUUAACAUAAAUAUUUAUUAUUAAAUGCAUUUAUUUAUGGAUGUGAUUACAUCAAAAAUUCGUACAAAACAGUUUUCUACAAGUAAAUACUGA